GGGGAGGCGCACAACCAGUGGAGCAUGUGGUUCAAUUCGAUACGAAGCGAUGAACUACCCGGGUUUGAAAUGUACCUGCACGGCCCCAGAAACGGGGCAAGCCUUAGAGGGUGGUACACAGCUGUUGCAUGGCUGUCGUCAGCUCGUGACGUGAGUUGUUCUCUUAAGUGAGGUAACGAGCGCAACCCCCAUUCUGUGUUACUAUGUCACAGAAGACUGCCCAGCAUUAUUUUGUUGGGAGGAAGGAGGGGACGACGUCAAGUCAUCAUGAUGCUUAUAUCCGGGGCUACACACAUCCUACAAUGGGUGGUACAGAGGGUCGCAAUACCGCGAGGUGGAGCUAAUCCUUAAAGCAGGCCUCAGUUCAGAUUGCAGUCUGCAACUCGACUGCAUGAAGCCGGAGUUGCUAGUAACCGCAGGUCAGCAAUACUGCGGUGAAUACGUUCCCGGGUCUU
rnacentral:rRNA from 1 species